rnacentral:rRNA from 1 species
GUAGGGGGCAAGCGUUAUCCGGAAUCACUGGGCGUAAAGGGAGCGUAGGCGGUUUGACAAGCCAGAGGUGAAAGGCAAUAGCUUAACUAUUGUAAGCCUUUGGAACUGUCGAACUUGAGUGUAGGAGAGGAAAGUGGAAUUCCUAGUGUAGCGGUGAAAUGCGUAGAUAUUAGGAGGAACACCAGUGGCGAAGGCGACUUUCUGGACUAUAACUGACGCUGAGGCUCGAAAGCGUGGGGAGCAAACAGGAUUAGAUACCCUGGUAGUCCACGCUGUAAACGAUGAAUACUAGGUGUCUGGGGUCAAACCUAGGUGCCGCAGCUAACGCAUUAAGUAUUCCGCCUGGGGGAGUACGCACGCAAGUGUG